rnacentral:rRNA from 1 species
CCUACGGGAGGCAGCAGUGAGGAAUAUUGGUCAAUGGCCGAGAGGCUGAACCAGCCAAGUCGCGUGAGGGAAGACGGCCCUACGGGUUGUAAACCUCUUUUGUCGGGGAGCAAAGCGAGUCACGUGUGACUCAUUGAGAGUAACCGAAGAACAAGCAUCGGCUAACUCCGUGCCAGCAGCCGCGGUAAUACGGAGGAUGCGAUCGGUAUCCGGGUUUAUUGGGUUUAAGAGGUGCGCAGGCGGGUGAGCAAGUCAGCCGUCAAAUGGCGGGGCUCAACCCCGUACUGCCGUUGAAGCUGCAUCCCUUGAGUGCGCGAGAAGUAUGCGGAAUGCGUGGUGUAGCGGUGAAAUGCAUAGAUAUCACGCAGAACUCCGAUUGCGAAGGCAGCAUACCGGCGCGCAACUGACGCUCAUGCACGAAAGCGUGGGUAUCGAACAGGAUUAGAUACCCCGGUAGUC